AUGGGCGCCAUGGACGCGCUCAUUUCCAGCGGCGCGCACAACGCCACCACAGCCACGUUCAUCGGCGCCGGCGGCCUCGCCAGCCUGCUCCCACAGGUGCAGACGGUGGAGGUGCUCGUCGCCGUUUCCAUCUUCGUGGCCAUCCACUCGCUGCGGCAGCGGCGCUCGCUGGGCCUCCCGUCGUGGCCGGUGGUCGGCAUGCUCCCGUCCCUCCUCCUCGGCGUCCGGGGCGACAUGUACGAGUGGAUCACGGGCGUCCUCAAGGCGCGCGGCGGCACGUUCACGUUCUGCGGGCCGUGGUUCACCAACCUGCACUGCGUGGUCACCGCCGACCCGCGGAACCUGGAGCACCUGCUCAAGACCAAGUUCGGCAACUUCCCCAAGGGCCCCUACUUCCGCGACACCGUGCGCGACCUCCUCGGCGACGGCAUCUUCGGGGCCGACGACGAGGUGUGGCGGCAGCAGCGCAAGGCGGCCAGCCUCGAGUUCCACUCCGCCGAGUUCCGCGCGCUCACGGCGAGCUCGCUGGUGGAGCUCGUGCACCGGCGGCUGCUGCCCGUGCUGGCCGAGACCGAGGCGGCCGGCGCGGCCGUGGACCUGCAGGACGUGCUCCUCCGCCUCACGUUCGACAACGUGUGCAUGAUCGCCUUCGGCGCCGACCCCGGGUGCCUCCAGAAGGGCCUCCCGGAGAUCCCGUUCGCCCGCGCGUUCGAGGACGCCACCGAGGCCACCAUCGUGCGCUUCGUCACGCCCACCGCGGUGUGGCGCGGGAUGCGCGCCCUCGGCGUGGGCCACGAGCGCGUGCUCCGGCGGUCGCUGGCCGGCGUCGACGAGUUCGCGUACGACGUGAUCAGGAAGCGCAGGGAGGAGCUCGCCGCAGCCGCCGCAACCGGCCACGAGGAGGCCGCCGGCGGGCUCCGUCGGGCCGACCUGCUGACCAUCUUCACCAAGAUGCGCGGCGCCGACGGCGCCCCCGCCUACUCGGACAAGUUCCUCCGCGACAUCUGCGUCAACUUCAUCCUGGCCGGGCGCGACACGUCGUCCGUGGCGCUGGCGUGGUUCUUCUGGCUGCUCAGCAAGAACCGCGGCGUGGAGGCCAAGAUCCUGCAGGAGGUCGAGGGCAUCGUGGCGGCGCGGGGUCGCUGUGGGGAGGUGGAGGAGGAGCUGGUGUUCCAGCCGGAGGAGGUGAAGCGGAUGGAGUACCUCCACGCCGCGCUCUCCGAGGCGCUCCGGCUCUACCCGUCCGUCCCCGUCGACCACAAGGAGGUUGUGGAGGACGAGGUGUUCCCCGACGGCACGGUGCUGAAGAAGGGCACCAAGGUGAUCUACGCCAUGUACUCCAUGGGGAGGAUGGAGAGCAUCUGGGGGGAGGACUGCAGGGAGUACAGGCCGGAGCGGUGGCUCAAGGACGACCGCUUCAUGGGCGAGUCCGCCUACAAGUUCACCGCCUUCAACGGCGGCCCGCGCCUCUGCCUCGGCAAGGACUUCGCCUACUACCAGAUGAAGUUCGCCGCCGCCUCCAUCCUCCGCCGCUACCGCGUCGACGUCGUCCAGGGACACCCGGUGGCGCCCAAGCUGGCGCUCACGCUCUUCAUGAAGCAUGGCCUCAAGGUGACGCUGGCCAAGAGGGACGACAAGGCCAAGCUCUGA
rnacentral:rRNA from 1 species